rnacentral:rRNA from 1 species
CAGUAGCCGCGGGAAUACGAAGGGUGCAAGCGUUAAUCGGAAUUACUGGGCGUAAAGCGUGCGUAGGCGGUGAGUUAAGUCUGCUGUGAAAGCCCUGGGCUCAACCUGGGAAUUGCAGUGGAUACUGGGUCACUAGAGUGUGGUAGAGGAUAGUGGAAUCUCCGGUGUAGCAGUGAAAUGCGUAGAGAUCGGAAGGAACAUCUGUGGCGAAGGCGACUAUCUGGGCCAACACUGACACUGAGGCACGAAAGCGUGGGGAGCAAACAGGAUUAGAUACCCGCGUAGUCCCUGUCUCUUAUAC